rnacentral:rRNA from 1 species
UACGUAGGGCGCGAGCGUUGUCCGGAAUUAUUGGGCGUAAAGAGCUCGUAGGUGGUUUGUUACGUCUGCUGUGAAAACCUAGGGCUUAACCCUGGGCCUGCAGUGGAUACGGGCAGACUAGAGGUAGGUAGGGGAGAAUGGAAUUCCCGGUGUAGCGGUGAAAUGCGCAGAUAUCAGGAGGAACACCGGUGGCGAAGGCGGGUCUCUGGGCCGAUACUGACGCUGAGGAGCGAAAGCGUGGGGAGCGAACAGG